rnacentral:rRNA from 1 species
AGAGUUUGAUCAUGGCUCAGGAUGAACGCUAGCGGCAGGCUUAACACAUGCAAGUCGAGGGGUAUAGGUUUUCGGACCUAGAGACCGGCGCACGGGUGCGUAACGCGUAUGCAAUCUACCUUUUACAGAGGGAUAGCCCAGAGAAAUUUGGAUUAAUACCUCAUAGUAUAAUGACUCGGCAUCGAGAUAUUAUUAAAGUCACAACGGUAAAAGAUGAGCAUGCGUCCCAUUAGCUAGUUGGUAAGGUAACGGCUUACCAAGGCAACGAUGGGUAGGGGUCCUGAGAGGGAGAUCCCCCACACUGGUACUGAGACACGGACCAGACUCCUACGGGAGGCAGCAGUGAGGAAUAUUGGUCAAUGGGCGCAAGCCUGAACCAGCCAUGCCGCGUGCAGGAUGAAGCAUCUAUGGUGUGUAAACUGCUUUUGUACGAGAAGAAACACUCCUUCGUGAAGGAGCUUGACGGUAUCGUAAGAAUAAGGACCGGCUACUCCGUGCCAGCAGCCGCGGUAAUACGGAGGGUCCAAGCGUUAUCCGGAAUCAUUGGGUUUAAAGGGUCCGUAGGCGGUUUUGUAAGUCAGUGGUGAAAGCCCAUCGCUCAACGGUGGAACGGCCAUUGAUACUGCAAGACUUGAAUUAUUGGGAAGCAACUAGAAUAUGUAGUGUAGCGGUGAAAUGCUUAGAGAUUACAUGGAAUACCAAUUGCGAAGGCAGGUUGCUACCAAUACAUUGACGCUGAUGGACGAAAGCGUGGGGAGCGAACAGGAUUAGAUACCCUAGUAGUCC